rnacentral:tRNA from 1 species
UGGCUCAGACAGUAAAGCGUCUGCCUACAAUGCAGGAGACCCAGGUUCGAUUCCUGG